UCCUGGGCAGCGGUUCCCGGGGAUGGAGCCCCGGCCGCGGGCUGCGCGCCACCCGUCACCUCGAUGGCCGGCAGGGGCUGGAUCUCGGCGAACGUAGUCAUGGUGGUGGGCAGCUGGAUCUCUUUGGGGAUCAGCAGACGUAUGUGCGAGGGGUACUAGGAUAAAGGAGCAUUCUGUGACAGUUCACACCUCACCUGUGUGUGCAGCUGAGCUUCUUACCCUGCAGACUUGUUUGAUCUCAC